AGAAUUUAAGUUAAAAAAACUAUUGACCUUCAAAGUCAAAUAUAGAUCCAAUUCUAAUUCUUA
rnacentral:tRNA from 1 species